rnacentral:lncRNA from 1 species
UGGCAAAGCUUUUUACGCGUUGCCGUGUGGACGGACGAGACCGGCCGGCUCCGAAAGGGACCAGGAUAUGCCAGGUCCGUUCGCUUUGUUUACGGAGGCUCCGAGAACCAGCACUCAUCCCCUGCUGCCACCAGCCAUUGCUCAUCCAUUCCCUUGUACGAAAUAAAUUUGAUCUAGAAGCUCGUG